AACAACCAGAUGAGACCAAUCACAGAUCCACCUGUUGCAUUCCACAGCAGCAGAUAAGAAUUGUUUGCAUUUUGUCUUUGAAGCCUCUCAGCUUCUCAGGAGGGAAAAAUCCUGAGGAAAGGAUUUUUCAUAGAACAUGUUGGUGACAAAGCUGUGUCUGAAUCCUUCCGAUUCCCAUCCAGCCCCCUAACUGCCAGUGUAAUCUCAUCAAAGGCCAUGUGGUGAUGAAGGCAUUCCUUGAUGGACCAUGUACUUUCUCUGCCUAUUUUUUGCAUGAAUGUGGUAUUUCUUCAAGCAGUCACAUAUGUUAUUUGGCAAGCAAAUUACUCUGAAAAAGCCUGGCAGAGCAGUUCACAGUGAAUUUCACAGUGAGUGUGCCAGGGCUGCUUGCUAAUACACAGAUGAGCUGCCAGAGUGCCAAGGUCCCCUCAUCCCCCCCAAAACUGCCUGAUGUACCCUGUGAGUAAUUAAACAUCACUCGGUUCUAAGAGGCAACCUUCAGUAACAGAGCUCACCCAGCUGUAAUAUCUUUAAAAUCAGGACAGAACCAGUGGCAUAUGACAGGAGAGUGGCUGAAUUGCCCACAGUUCAAUGGCCUCUCUAAUGAAAUAGGGGCUCCUGGUUCCUGUGUAAAUUGAUGUGCACCAUAGAGUUGUGGACUGCAUUACUAGUGAGCAGUACCAGUGGCUUCAAACCCUGUGUAUUCAUGAAUGGCUAAAGGAAUCCCCUAGACUAUCAGCAAGAAUCCUGCACAUUUCAGAGAGAACACUCAGCACUGGGACAAGGAAACUUUGAAGAGCUCCAACAACUUUGGUCCUCCAACUGAUCCAGGAAACUGAGGUGUUUGGCAAACUCAAAAUAUCUCAAGAGUAUUCAGGAUAAGAGUCUGAAAUGAGAACAUGGGCUGCUGAAAUGCAUGGCAAGUUAAAACAUGGGAAAAAAGUGUGACAGAGGACUAAUCCUGGCUUGAAAAGAAGUUGCAGGUUUGCACCAAUACAUUGUUCAACUUCUUUUUUUUGUUUAUAAUUGAUGUGGAAAAUGUGAAGUCAUAAAGCUCUGUGUGACUGCAGGAUGUCAGGAUAAAACAGCAGGAGGACCUCAAGCCAUAUUUUCAUCCCUUUCUUGAGGCUCAUAUGGAAAAGUCCUGGCUGAGGUCUGUGGCUGGAGGGAGCUGCCUGAAAAGCACCUGCAGAGCCAGAACUGGAGAAGGAUCCUCACAACAGAACCCCUGAGUGACCUCACCUUGUCUAUCCAAAAGAUGGAGAGAAGGCAACACACAGAGACACAGCACCACCAGCUUUGGAGGUGAGUGACCUGCAGCCACAGCAGCUCCCCCAGAGCUCAAAACCACUGUAAAAAUGGCAAAAAACUGACAGGGGUUCCAUUUUAAACAGGGAAUCUUAAUUUCAGACACCUGUAGUAAUAGGAUGAACCAGCCUAAAAUGUGUUAAUCUCCUAUUCCUUGGCAUCUAACAGCAGUUUGUGCUGGUUGAAUCAGAGUGAGGAAUAAUGGUAGCUGCGCCUUCUUGUAAAAUGGACAUCCAA